ACUUGACACUCUCUCCCAUACAAGAAGAGGAACGCAGAAAGACAGGGAUUGAAAAUACUGCUGAUCUUUGGCUUAUAGCAGGAGUAUCUUUGGCAGCGACGACCACAACCUUCAAACUGAAAGAACUGGUCAACAGAGCGUGCAGCAGAGAGGCCAGAACCACCACAUGAAGAGCAGGGCCAGCAGGAGGAACAACACCAGCAGGGUGAUCAGGAGAAUGGUGCCAUCAAACUGGAGAGUAGACACACAUGACUUUAAAGUCUUUAACCACCGUCAACUGAACCUUCUCUUCUGUGGCCUGCUGUACUUCUCUUCCCAUAAAGACUUAGGUUAGAGAGGUUUGUGGAUUGUUGACGUUGGACCAUGGUUGGGUUCUAAAAAGAGAGUAUGGCCAGCUGAAGAGGAGCGACUCCGGCCGUACCGUUUUUAAAACUGUGUGACUGUCGUGUGGUGAAUGUUGUGAGUAAAACAACCUCAGCUGUCUUAGUUUUCACAUCCCGUCGCCUCCCUCUUUUCCCUCCAGUGAACAUUGAUUUAAACAUAAUGUGUUUUUAAUGCCUAUGUCAAUAGACCUGAUCCUGAACUAACAAACACAGUCCACUAUAAUCAGAUCCACUCCCAGUAGUACACUACAACUCAGGUCAAAAUGUGUGUUUUCUCACGGGCAAAUUGUCAAGUUGUCAAACACAGAAGCUUUACAUUGGGGUUUGAUCAGAACAGAAAUGUCCAAACAGAUCCAUUAAAUGGAUAGUUCAGGUGUUUUGAAGUGUGGUUGUAUGAGGUACUUAUUCAUAGUCAGUGUAUUACCUACAGUAGAUGACGGUCCACACGCCCCAAGUUU